CAAACUAUUAAAAUUGUGAGGACUGAUAGGUUUUGCAUUUUAGGUCAAGCAUACAAGCAUAUUAUAACCAGAAAAUAUCUUCACAAAAAUUUCAUGGCAGGGAAUAAAGAUUAAUCAGACACCACAUGUGGUAAGGAAUAAUUGCAUCUUGUUAAAAGAGUCCGACGUGCAAUUUGAGAAUUUCGUGAUAAAACUAAUUUCAUUUCUCUAUUACAUCGGAUGUAGGAACUUUAGCCGUGUGCGGACCGUGACGAAAGCAGGUGAAUCUCUCUUGGACCAGUUAUAUAUAUUUCUUUACAGGUCGGCCAUAUGCAACGCGCAAAACUACCAAAACUACUUACAUCAGAGGCUUACACCACAUAAACCAUGCCAAC
rnacentral:lncRNA from 1 species